CCCUUAGAUGUUCUGGGCCGCACGCGCGCUACAAUGGUCUUCGCAAACGGAUGCAUUCUCGAAGGAGAAUGCCAAUCUUGGAAUCUAUGCCUUGGUCGGGACAGUUGCUUGCAAUUUUUCGACUCGAACCAGGAAUUCCUUGUAAUCGUGAUUCAUCACAUCACGAUGAAUACGUCCCUGCCCUUUAUACACACCGCCCGUCGCUCCUACCGAUCGAAGAGUUAGGUGAAUUGUUUUGAUCGAUAAGAUUUGACUAUGGUCAACUCUCGUUGGGAAAUUCUGUGAAUCUGACUGUUUAGAGGAAGGAAAAGUCGUAACA
rnacentral:rRNA from 1 species